rnacentral:rRNA from 1 species
UUAGAGUUUGAUCCUGGCUCAGGACGAACGCUGGCGGCGUGCCUAAUACAUGCAAGUCGAGCGAGUCUGCCUUGAAGAUCGGAGUGCUUGCACUCUGUGAAACAAGAUACAGGCUAGCGGCGGACGGGUGAGUAACACGUGGGUAACCUGCCCAAGAGAUCGGGAUAACACCUGGAAACAGAUGCUAAUACCGGAUAACAACAGAUGAUGCCUAUCAACUGUUUAAAAGAUGGUUCUGCUAUCACUCUUGGAUGGACCUGCGGUGCAUUAGCUAGUUGGUAGGGUAACGGCCUACCAAGGCGAUGAUGCAUAGCCGAGUUGAGAGACUGAUCGGCCACAUUGGGACUGAGACACGGCCCAAACUCCUACGGGAGGCAGCAGUAGGGAAUCUUCCAUAAUGGACGCAAGUCUGAUGGAGCAACGCCGCGUGAGUGAAGAAGGGUUUCGGCUCGUAAAGCUCUGUUGUUGGUGAAGAAGGACAGGGGUAGUAACUGACCUUUGUUUGACGGUAAUCAAUUAGAAAGUCACGGCUAACUACGUGCCAGCAGCCGCGGUAAUACGUAGGUGGCAAGCGUUGUCCGGAUUUAUUGGGCGUAAAGCGAGUGCAGGCGGCUCGAUAAGUCUGAUGUGAAAGCCUUCGGCUCAACCGGAGAAUUGCAUCAGAAACUGUCGAGCUUGAGUACAGAAGAGGAGAGUGGAACUCCAUGUGUAGCGGUGAAAUGCGUAGAUAUAUGGAAGAACACCGGUGGCGAAGGCGGCUCUCGGGUCUGUUACUGACGCUGAGGCUCGAAAGCAUGGGUAGCGAACAGGAUUAGAUACCCUGGUAGUCCAUGCCGUAAACGAUGAGUGCUAAGUGUUGGGGAGGUUUCCGCCUCUCAGUGCUGCAGCUAACGCAUUAAGCACUCCGCCUGGGGAGUACGACCGCAAGGUUGAAACUCAAAGGAAUUGACGGGGGCCCGCACAAGCGGUGGAGCAUGUGGUUUAAUUCGAAGCAACGCGAAGAACCUUACCAGGUCUUGACAUCCAUAGCCAGUCUAAGAGAUUAGAUGUUCCCUUCGGGGACUAUGAGACAGGUGGUGCAUGGCUGUCGUCAGCUCGUGUCGUGAGAUGUUGGGUUAAGUCCCGCAACGAGCGCAACCCUUGUCAUUAGUUGCCAGCAUUAAGUUGGGCACUCUAAUGAGACUGCCGGUGACAAACCGGAGGAAGGUGGGGAUGACGUCAAGUCAUCAUGCCCCUUAUGACCUGGGCUACACACGUGCUACAAUGGGCAGUACAACGAGAAGCGAGCCUGCGAAGGCAAGCGAAUCUCUGAAAGCUGUUCUCAGUUCGGACUGCAGUCUGCAACUCGACUGCACGAAGCUGGAAUCGCUAGUAAUCGCGGAUCAGCACGCCGCGGUGAAUACGUUCCCGGGCCUUGUACACACCGCCCGUCACACCAUGGGAGUCUGCAAUGCCCAAAGCCGGUGGCCUAACCUUCGGGAAGGAGCCGUCUAAGGCAGGGCAGAUGACUGGGGUGAA